rnacentral:rRNA from 1 species
AAGUCGUAACAAGGUUUCCGUAGGUGAACCUGCGGAAGGAUCAUUAUUGAAUCCUCAGGAUGUCGCUGGCCCCUCGCAAGGGGGGCAUGUGCACUCCGCCUUCAAUCCACCUGUGCACUUAUUGUAGGCCAAAGGGGGAAACCCCUUUACCUACGCUUUUACACACACUUUAAAGUACCAGAAUGUAACACAGUAGACCUUCAGGUCGAAAUAACAAUACAACUUUCAACAACGGAUCUCUUGGUUCUCGCAUCGAUGAAGAACGCAGCGAAUUGCGAUAUGUAAUGUGAAUUGCAGAAUUCAGUGAAUCAUCGAAUCUUUGAACGCACCUUGCGCCCUUUGGUAUUCCGAAGGGCAUGCCUGUUUGAGUAUCAUUAAUAUCUCACUCUUGAAUUCCUUGUGAAGUCAAGCAAGUGGACUUUGGGGGUUUUUGCAGGCCAUAACUGGUCGGCUCCUCUUAAAUUGAUUAGCGGAACUCUAUGCAGUACCAGCCUCGGUUUGAUAAUCCUAUCUAUGCUGUCGCUGUUGGACUGUGCUGUUUGGCUUACAAUUGUCUUCGGACUGUCGCUUCUGCGGCAUAAACUUUUAAGCUUGAUCUCAAAUCAGGUAGGACUACCCGCUGAACUUAAGCAUAUCAAUAAGCGGAGGAAAAGAAACUAACAAGGAUUCCCCUAGUAACUGCGAGUGAAGAGGGAAAAGCUCAAAUUUAAAAUCUGUCUGCCUUGCUGCAGUCCGAGUUGUAGUUUAGAGAAGCGAUAUCCGCGUUGGCCUGUGCAAAAGUUUCUUGGAAAAGAACAUCAUAGAGGGUGACAAUCCCGUCUUUGGCACAGAUUACCAGGGCUUUUGUGAUACGCUCUCAACGAGUCGCGUUGUUUGGGAAUGCAGCGCUAAAUGGGUGGUAAAUUCCAUCUAAAGCUAAAUAUUGGCGAGAAACCGAUAGCGAACAAGUACCGUGAGGGAAAGAUGAAAAGGACUUUGAAAAGAGAGUUAAACAGUACGUGAAAUUGUUGAAAGGGAAACGCUUGAAGUCAGUCGUGUCUUUUGGAAAUCAGGUUACCCUUGGGUGACCGUAUUUUCUGCUGGACAGGUCAGCAUCAAUUUUGACCGCUGGACAAAGGCCUAGGGAAUGUGGCUUCUUCGGAAGUGUUAUAGCCCUGGGUUGCAUACAGCGAUUGGGAUUGAGGAACUCAGUGCGCCUUUAUGGUUGGGCUUCGGUCACAUAUCGCACUUAGGAUGCUGGCAUAAUGGCUUUAAUCGACC